ensembl:lncRNA
AUGCUUUCAAGAGUGCUUUUCUCCAAUGGCAUUCUGCAGCAUGUUCUAGGGCUGUUACCAUGUCUCACACACACAAAACAGACACUGUUCUGGUCUGGGAAAUACAAGAUGCAACAGGUUCCUUUUCUGCAGGUGUUUUUUUUUCCUGUAUUUAAUGUAGUUCCCACGGUGGAAUCUGCGUCGCAUCCUCAAAACUUAAGCACUCAAGUUAUGCUCACCUUUCCGGGGACUUGUGUCCCAUCAAAGAUGCCAGGUGUCUCCCAUGAAGUCUCUGCUCGGGCAGCAUCCAGGCACUCUGCUGUCUUCAGAGAGGCUGUGCCAUGCCCUCCAGCAUCACCUACAACAAGCCCCUAGUGGGAGCAUGAACUUGACCUUCCUUGUUCCUGGGGCACAUGCCUAACCAAGUGCUCAUGGACCACUGCGCUGUGGGGUCAGGGUGUUCUUUCUGAGGCAGGGAAAUGUGGUCCAGGUCUAAUAAGCCCACAGACAGCCUCUUAAGGGCUACCGUACUAGCACAUCCUGAAGCAGUUUAAACAUCCAUUGUAGCCCCGGUUAUUUUAAAAAGGAAAGCCUAGGAAUCCACUGACAAAUUGAGUUCCCUCUAGGUACGUACAGGGAGGAGGAGCGCUCCACCAUCAGUACCGGUGGAUGUGAUCGAAGGGAAGAGUCUUACACAGUGAACACCUACCCCUCCCCCAGUGCCUUACACCUACCUUCCCAUCAAGGUUUCCAGCAGCGGGUCUGCAGACGGUGAAAUCGCGGCCGCCAGUGCUGGGGGAGUGGCUGUAUCACACCCCGUGCACCCACCCGGAACCUCUCACCCGCCCCCCACAAAUCAGGUCCACCUGUCACACAAGAAAAGUUUAUUGAAAAAUAAAGUUCUCCCUAGUUUUCUCUACAACAGUGGAAAACAAAGCAGUGCUCUCUAUGCCGGUACAGUACGUGUGACAGCAACACCUCACUGGCAAAACCUUGCACGACUUAACCCCGGGGGAACAGCAGAAAACAGCCGUACCAGGAGCUGGCCGAAGACACAGACGCGGAUGGCCGUUAGCUUAUAGACACCGAGCUCACGACAGCAACUACGGCAGAAAAGAUGUCGCCAUCUCCUCUGGCAUCGGUUGUCCCACUCCCAUUUGUCCUGUUCACACCUGGGCAGGACAGGGAACAAAUGCUUCCCAAGUUUGCACCAUCUCAGAGGUGGGCAGAGGUGGCCGACUAAGCUAGGUUCCUGUCCAGCUGUCCCAGGGAGACCUCCUGCAAGUGGUCUGAGCACCUAGGGCUGCACCCCCCGACUCCCCAGACACAGGGCCCUGGUCUCCGCAUUAGCACACAGAUGCCCUCCAUCCCUCUGCCCUGUCUCACCAGCUGCAGGGGGCUAGGGCUCCACAAGAUCUGGGGAGAAUCGAGGAAAUGCUUGGAAGAAGGUGCACUCCAAUCUUACAUCCACAGACAUGUAAGACUGCUGAUGCAGCUGAAGACAAUGCAAAGGAUCUUAAAAAGACACCAACAGAUUCCUCCAUUUUCCACAAAUGCAGUCUUUCCAGAAUACGCCAAAAUAGGAGAUAAAAACUGAGCCUAUUUAGGGAAGUAAGAGGCUGACACCAACCACGCCACCUCCCCCACGCCCCCAAAAAAGCCAACUGACAUUCGGGUGAUUUGGAAAAACAUCACUAAGCUAGGAGCAGCCUCUUGGAGUUCUGAAGACCCCUCACUCUCUCCAUGGAACUAACCUUUAAUUUGAUAGAAACAUAACAACUAACCAGCCUGGGAAUCUGAUCCUCUUGGACUGGACACUGGAGAAGCCACCCUGGCCAGCAGGGGGCAGCAAAGGGACUUCCUGGGGGAAUGAGUACGUUCAAGAGGUCAUUCCUUUUCUCUUAAAUAAAAAAAACAGAAACACCUCUAUUAUUGCAUUUCAGAGGAAGAUGGGUAACUUUAAGGGAACAGUCUGUCAGAGGAUUUAUUUUAAUUUCCAGCUCAAAAAGUUCUGCACACACCCUGGAAGGGUCCAGAAGAUGUCAGUGGGGUAGGAUCUGGCAUGUGGCCACUCUAUGUCAAGCUGACUAAUUUUGCAGCCCAGUUGCACUUGGGGCUGAAGUCGGGCAUAUUUUCAAAUCAGUCAGUGCAUUCAGGGACACAGUACCAUUUUAGCCAGCAGGGUGGACACAGGACCUGGGCAUCUUAAACCUGUAAUUCCUACAACAUUCUAUCAACUUGGAGUAUCUUCCCGUACCUACAGGAAUCAAUGAUAGGAAGUGAGCUCAGCUCUUUUCCUCAACUUGUAUGAAAUGUGAAAAACAACAAUAUUUAACAUUUACUAGGACUUAACUAUUUGCCAGACAUUGCUAAACACUGAAUCCUCACAAAACCCCUAAGUGCUAAGAAAGCUAGGGUAAAAUUUUUUUUUUUCUGCAUCUGACACUAGACAGCUAAUUUGGCCUUUUGCCAUAUAAACUUGGGUUUUCCAUUUUUUUUGUUGUUGAAGCCAACAAGAAGGAAAAGAACCCACCCUCUGCUUUAGACAACUCCCACCUUCUUAGAGCAGCCUGAAUCUCUUGACAUCUGUCCGUCUCUUCACAUGAAGAUGCUCUGCAGCCUAGGGGAUGGGCGGGAUUAGAAUGAAACCACUGUGGAAAUGAAAAUAUUCUUCAAUAAAUAAAAUAUUCCAGGCUUGGGAGAGUAACACAACCACAACCUGUCGUUAAUAGAACUUUUUUAAAAUCAAGAAUUGGUGUGUGUGUGGGGGGUGGGCGAGGGUGGCAAUGUCCCAAUUAUAUACAUAUCUAGUAGGGAAUCCACCCCAGAGGGGUGGCCUGAUUGGGCUGGUCUAAAAGCAU